rnacentral:rRNA from 1 species
GACGAACGCUGGCGGCGUGCCUAACACAUGCAAGUCGAACGAUGAAGCCGGAGCUUGCUCUGGUGAAUUAGUGGCGAACGGGUGAGUAACACGUGAGUAACCUGCCCUAGACUCUGGGAUAACUGCGGGAAACUGUAGCUAAUACCGGAUACGACCCUCGGAGGCAUCUCCUGGGGGUGGAAAGAAUUUCGGUCAAGGAUGAACUCGCGGCCUAUCAGCUAGUUGGGGAGGUAAAGGCUCACAAAGGCGACGACGGGUAGCCGGCCUGAGAGGGUGACCGGCCACACUGGGACUGAGACACGGCACAGACUCCUACGGGAGGCAGCAGUGGGGAAUAUUGCACAAUGGGCGCAAGCCUGAUGCAGCAACGCCGCGUGAGGGAUGACGGCCUUCGGGUUGUAAACAUCUUUUAGCAGGGAAGAAGCGAAAGUGACGGUACCUGCAGAAAAAGCACCGGCUAACUACGUGCCAGCCGCCGCCGUAA